UACAGGUGUCAUUUUAAAAAGGCUUGCUGUUAGUCAGGCUUAUGCCUCUGGGCACAGGAGCCGGGCCGAGAAGUGAACAUGAUCCUUAGGCUGCCUCUGGGCACAGGAGCCGGGCCAGGAAAGCAGCUGGCAGCCCGGCCUACAUCGGCUCCACUGAGCCUUGUGAACGCUUAGACUAGUUUUCAUUCAAAAAUGGGUGGUUGCUCUGCUGGAUUCCGGAGCCUACUGUGUUUACGUGGUUGCCGCAGCAACACAAUUCCAAGCCAGCCCAAGGCCACUGGUCAUUCCUGCUCCUGACCAGGUCAGGGACAGAAGCAGCUCCAGGGCUCUCCUGCUUGAUGGCUCUUGGUGGGGCAAGACUUUGGCUUCCACCAAGCUCUCCAGCAUCAUCAGCACAUCCACCGUGGGGCUGAGAUCCAUGUCCGGAGGGCUCAGACGUGUGAGGAGGGGGUGUCUGUGUUCCCGCCGUGUAGGCAGCCCAACAGAGGAAGCCCCUGCUCCUGAACCGGCCAGGCAGGACCCCAAAAAGCCAAUGCGCUGCUGCCACAAACAUUUCCGACAGCCAAGCAAAACCCAGGUCCCUGCCCUCAAGAAGCCUCCAGUCUAAACCCACAGCAUUUCCAAUCUACAGAGAAAAGGGAGGGAGAGGACACAAGGGUAGGAAGUGACAAACGGAAUGAAAAAGCGGGACCGUUCAUACUUCCUUCGCCUUUCAGGGGAUGCGGAGGACUUGGGGGUGAUGAAGGAGAAGGUGGGGGGGAACUCCAGGCACACAGAGAACCCUAAGCAGAUCCUAUCUGGCCCUGCCGUCUUUAGGCUGUUGGGAGUUCUCUUCCCCCAAAGCAACUUCUCCCAGCUCUGAGAGUGACUCAAGAUGGCUGGGCUGUUGUGGGUCUCCUCUCAUCAGCUCUUCAGAGACAUGGACUGGUGCUCCUUUGGCACCCGAGUUCCAAGUAAGCCCUGAAGCUCUUCCAGAUUGUGGCCAGUCCACUGUGGCUCAUUCCAGCGAAGCAUCUCUCCCCUGAAGAAGGAGGUUUUAGGACAGAAAAUAUGUUCAGGAUCACCAGUGCUUUCUUGGGAAGCUCUCAGGUUGGCUGCCAGGUGACAUGAGGAACUGAGGGAGUCCUGUGAACAUUCACCUUUCGCUGUAUCUGUCUGGGGGUCGUGGUGGGAGACUUUAGUCUUGGAUUGCCUACUUCAGAUUGGCAGCAGUUCUCCAAAAUGUCCCCUCCACAAUCUUUCAGAAAUGGAGAUCCCAGGUUCAGGAAAUCCCUCCUCUAUUCCUAAAGGUGAUCAUGCCCUACCUAUAGAGCUCAUAAAAGUUACUUUUUUGGAUUACAGUUCCCCAACCUCAUUGCCAGUCUGGUUUGGGAAUACUAGGAAUCUUUGUCCAAAAAAGAGAGUAACUUUUAGAAGCUAUAGAUAUGUAGUGAUCAUUUCUGUUGGUUGAUUCCUGGAGCUCAGUGCUUAUGAAUUGCUGGAGAGCAAAGAAUGGGAGGUAGUGGUGGACUGCAUGGUCUGCUUGAGGCUUUCAUGGAGAACUUCUGGAAACAAGAGUCAGGGCUAGUUGGUGGAGCCCUGGUUUCAUCCCGUGAUGCUCUUAUGCCCUCAAGUUUCUGACCUGUUGUGUCUUCUCAUCUGAGUCUCACUGAGCAACAACAGGAGCACAAGCAGGAACAGCCACCACAUGAGACCAGUCUGGUGAAGUCUGCAGCAUGCUGGGUAAGGAAGGAAAUUAUGAUUUCUCUACCCUUUUCCUCCCAUUCCACAGCCUGCUGGAGGAUGGCCAACGUGGUCAGUGAGGUGGGCUGAACUACAAGGCUAAGCUACACAUAUACACAACAAAGCAAGAAUUCCUCCUCCUAGGAAGAAACUAUUAGGAGCUAGAAUAUUGCCACAGAGGUGUAUCAACUGCCCACUGCUUCUCCCUCUAAGUCUUGUUUCCAUCCAACACUGCAGGAUUCUGAAGCCUGUUUCAAGCACGAAACAUGCAUAUGGAGGGAGAGAAACUGGACGGUGGGUGGCCUUCUGCUGGAAAAUAGGAUUCUUGAGCAACACUGCAGGAUUCUGAAGCCUGUUUCAUGCACGAAACUUGCAUAUGGAGGGAGAGAAACUGGAUGGUGGGUGGCCUUCCGCUGGAAAAUAGGAUUCUUGAGAGAAGAUGAAAGCAUCUUUCCCUUGUUCUUGUGGCUUCUCCACCCCAUUUGCCCCAUCACCUUUACACUUACUCCAAGUAAGUACUGGAAGAGUCUUCCCAGAUAAUUCUCUGGAUGUCCCCUGCAUGCACGAAACUUGCAUAUGGAGGGAGAGAAACUGGAUGGUGGGUGGCCUUCCGCUGGAAAAUAGGAUUCUUGAGAGAAGAUGAAAGCAUCUUUCCCUUGUUCUUGUGGCUUCUCCACCCCAUUUGCCCCAUCACCUUUACACUUACUCCAAGUAAGUACUGGAAGAGUCUUCCCAGAUAAUUCUCUGGAUGUCCCCUGUCUGAAGAGGCCACCCUUGUUUUAAAGGGAGAACCAAUUUUAUCCAGAAAGAAAACAUAGCUGGGGACACCUUUACGAUUGAACAGACAUGAUUUCUCUUUAAUUUACACAGGAAUCAAUGAACAUGGAAGCCCCAGAGAGCAGACAGAGCAGCUUUGAGGACUUGGUUUCUGACUAGAGAUCGCCAUGAACCAAACUACGAACUAAAAAUAACCACGAACCAGGCUGGUUUGUGGCUCAGUUUGUGCAAGUCAUUUUGCCAAAAUAAAACAAAUCACCACACUUUUUUCA
ensembl:lncRNA